CGUGCGGGUGCUAAUACAUGCAAGUCGAGCGGACAGAUGGGAGCUUGCUCCCUGAUGUUAGCGGCGGACGGGUGAGUAACACGUGGGUAACCUGCCUGUAAGACUGGGAUAACUCCGGGAAACCGGGGCUAAUACCGGAUGGUUGUUUGAACCGCAUGGUUCAAACAUAAAAGGUGGCUUCGGCUACCACUUACAGAUGGACCCGCGGCGCAUUAGCUAGUUGGUGAGGUAACGGCUCACCAAGGCAACGAUGCGUAGCCGACCUGAGAGGGUGAUCGGCCACACUGGGACUGAGACACGGCCCAGACUCCUACGGGAGGCAGCAGUAGGGAAUCUUCCGCAAUGGACGAAAGUCUGACGGAGCAACGCCGCGUGAGUGAUGAAGGUUUUCGGAUCGUAAAGCUCUGUUGUUAGGGAAGAACAAGUACCGUUCGAAUAGGGCGGUACCUUGACGGUACCUAACCAGAAAGCCACGGCUAACUACGUGCCAGCAGCCGCGGUAAUACGUAGGUGGCAAGCGUUGUCCGGAAUUAUUGGGCGUAAAGGGCUCGCAGGCGGUUUCUUAAGUCUGAUGUGAAAGCCCCCGGCUCAACCGGGGAGGGUCAUUGGAAACUGGGGAACUUGAGUGCAGAAGAGGAGAGUGGAAUUCCACGUGUAGCGGUGAAAUGCGUAGAGAUGUGGAGGAACACCAGUGGCGAAGGCGACUCUCUGGUCUGUAACUGACGCUGAGGAGCGAAAGCGUGGGGAGCGAACAGGAUUAGAUACCGG
rnacentral:rRNA from 1 species